rnacentral:rRNA from 1 species
UACGUAGGGUGCAAGCGUUAAUCGGAAUUACUGGGCGUAAAGCGUGCGCAGGCGGUUUUGUAAGACAGAGGUGAAAUCCCCGGGCUCAACCCGGGAACUGCCUUUGUGACUGCAAGGCUUGAGUGCGGCAGAGGGGGAUGGAAUUCCGCGUGUAGCAGUGAAAUGCGUAGAUAUGCGGAGGAACACCGAUGGCGAAGGCAAUCCCCUGGGCCUGCACUGACGCUCAUGCACGAAAGCGUGGGGAGCAAACAGG